rnacentral:rRNA from 1 species
UCAUAUGGCUAUACUACCCUAAAUGUGCCUGGUCUCAUCUGAUCUCAGAAGCUAAGCAGAGUCAGGCCUGGUUAGUACUUAGGUGGGAGACACCUACGAGGAGGGACUACCCGUCAGGAGCAGUGGGAA